rnacentral:rRNA from 1 species
GACAACGCUGGCGGCGUGCUUAAUACAUGCAAGUCGAGCGAGGUUACUGUUUCGGAUCCCUUCGGGGUGAAGAAGCUUUAACCUAGCGGCGGACGGGUGAGUAACGCGUGGGUAACCUACCCCAAAGUCCGGGAUAACAGCGGGAAACCGCUGCUAAUACCGGAUGCCUUUACCUUGGGGCAUCUUGAGGUAAAGAAAGGCAACGCUUUGGGAUGGGCCCGCGUCCCAUUAGCUAGUUGGUGAGGUAACGGCUCACCAAGGCGACGAUGGGUAGCCGGCCUGAGAGGGUGGACGGCCACACUGGGACUGAGACACGGCCCAGACUCCUACGGGAGGCAGCAGUAGGGAAUAUUGCGCAAUGGACGGAAGUCUGACGCAGCGACGCCGCGUGAGCGAUGAAGGUCUUCGGAUCGUAAAGCUCUGUCCUUGGGGAAGAAGGUCUUCGGACUUGACGGUACCCAAGAAGAAAGCCCCGGCUAACUACGUG